rnacentral:rRNA from 1 species
UACGUAGGGCGCAAGCGUUGUCCGGAAUUAUUGGGCGUAAAGAGCUCGUAGGCGGCCUGUCGCGUCUGCUGUGAAAUCCCGGGGCUCAACCCCGGGCCUGCAGUGGAUACGGGCUGGCUGGAGGCAGGCAGGGGAGAACGGAAUUCCUGGUGUAGCGGUGAAAUGCGCAGAUAUCAGGAGGAACACCGGUGGCGAAGGCGGUUCUCUGGGCCUGUUCUGACGCUGAGGAGCGAAAGCGUGGGGAGCGAACAGG